rnacentral:rRNA from 1 species
AUGUCGUCCCCGGCGGCAUCGCCUAACACUUUUGACGACGCUGCUGCGGACGCGCCCGGCACGACCAGCUCCAACCUGACGCUGCUGUACAUCAUCAUCGCUGUCCUCGUCGGCGUCGUGCUGUACCUGGCCGUCCGCUACGGCCGGUCGCUCCUGUCGGAGUGGCGCGAGCUCAACGGCACCGGCCAUGGCCCGCCUCCAGCAUUCCACACCGGGCUGAGCUUGGAGGACAUCGCCGCGCUCCCCACCUUCACCUACAGAGCACGAGCGAGGCCGACGCCGUCGCCCCAGGGCAGCUGGGGCGGCUGCACGAGCGGCGGCGGUAAGAGGAGGAGCGGCAGCAAGGGGAGGGCGACGCCGGUGGAGUGCGUGGUGUGCCUGCAGGAGCUGGAGGACGGCGACGUGGUGCGCGUGCUGCCGGCGUGCAGGCACUUCUUCCACGGCAGCUGCAUCGACACCUGGCUGCGCGCGCACUCGUCUUGCCCGGUGUGCCGCGCGGAGCCGGAGAGCGCGCGGCCGGGCGAGGCGGCCCUGUCGCCGCCGCUGCCGCAGUUGCGUCGGUGCGGCGUGUCACCGGAGCGGCCUACGGCCUCGAGGAUCCUGGCGGACAUCUUGGCGCGAUCGCCGUUGAGGAUCGGCGGCUCGACGAGCGAAUCGAAGGAGAGGAUCAUCUCCAGGUCGCCGUCGCCAGCACCAACGGCGCGUGAUUACACCAUGUCAAGAUCUCCAUCGCGGACGCCACUGACGCAUGGUAUGGUGGACGAACGGUGUUCGCUGUCACAGUCGCCACAGACGCUGGAGGUUGUGGUGGUUCGCUCGAAAUCGCCGUCUCCGAUGAGGUUCGGCCGUCAGUCGACGACGACAUGCGUUGGCGUGCUGGAGCGCACAGAUGCGAGUAUGUCCGCAUCGCCGUCCCCGCCGGCGACAUAUGCAGAGGACGGUGGCGAGUCGUCGUCUAAAUUGACCCAUUAA